rnacentral:rRNA from 1 species
AGCUACACAUGCAGUCGAGCGCCCCGCAAGGGGAGCGGCAGACGGGUGAGUAACGCGUGGGAAUCUACCGUGCCCUACGGAAUAGCUCCGGGAAACUGGAAUUAAUACCGUAUACGCCCUUCGGGGGAAAGAUUUAUCGGGGUAUGAUGAGCCCGCGUUGGAUUAGCUAGUUGGUGGGGUAAAGGCCUACCAAGGCGACGAUCCAUAGCUGGUCUGAGAGGAUGAUCAGCCACAUUGGGACUGAGACACGGCCCAAACUCCUACGGGAGGCAGCAGUGGGGAAUAUUGGACAAUGGGCGCAAGCCUGAUCCAGCCAUGCCGCGUGAGUGAUGAAGGCCUUAGGGUUGUAAAGCUCUUUCACCGGUGAAGAUAAUGACGGUAACCGGAGAAGAAGCCCCGGCUAACUUCGUGCCAGCAGCCGCGGUAAUACGAAGGGGGCUAGCGUUGUUCGGAAUUACUGGGCGUAAAGCGCACGUAGGCGGACAUUUAAGUCAGGGGUGAAAUCCCGGGGCUCAACCUCGGAACUGCCUUUGAUACUGGGUGUCUUGAGUAUGGAAGAGGUAAGUGGAAUUGCGAGUGUAGAGGUGAAAUUCGUAGAUAUUCGCAGGAACACCAGUGGCGAAGGCGGCUUACUGGUCCAUUACUGACGCUGAGGUGCGAAAGCGUGGGGAGCAAACAGGAUUAGAU